CGCUGGCGGCGUGCCUAACACAUGCAAGUCGAACGGGGUAAUUCCUUCGGGGAUUACUUAGUGGCGAACGGGUGAGUAACGCGUGAGAAACCUGCCUUUCAGUGGGGGACAACAGUUGGAAACGACUGCUAAUACCGCAUAAUGUUAUUUAGGGGCAUCCCUGAAUAACCAAAGAUUUAUUGCUGAAAGAUGGUCUCGCGUCUGAUUAGCUAGUUGGUGAGGUAACGGCUCACCAAGGCGACGAUCAGUAGCCGGUCUGAGAGGAUGAACGGCCACAUUGGGACUGAGAUACGGCCCAGACUCCUACGGGAGGCAGCAGUGGGGAAUAUUGGGCAAUGGGGGAAACCCUGACCCAGCAACGCCGCGUGAAGGAAGAAGGCCUUCGGGUUGUAAACUUCUUUUAGCAGGGACGAAGGACGUGACGGUACCUGCAGAAAAAGCAACGGCUAACUACGUG
rnacentral:rRNA from 1 species